rnacentral:RNase_P_RNA from 1 species
CGGGCGGGGCGAUCGCGCGAUAUGGCGCCGAAAGGUAUUAUCGUGAGGAAAGUCCGGGCUUCACAGGGCAGGAUAACGGAUAACGUCCGCCGAGGGCGACCUCCGGGAAAGUGCAACAGAGAGAUACCGCCGCGCUCUGCGCGGUAAGGGUGGAAAGGCGAGGUAAGAGCUCACCCGCUCUUCCGGUAACGAAAGAGCGCUGUAAACCCUAUCCGAAGCAACACCUUGAACCGCUCCUUCGGGAGACAGGCUGCCCGCCUGCUGCGUUCAUGGUGGCAGAUCUCUGCCGCAAGGCAGAACGAACUUUCGCGUGAGCGGAAGUGAAGAUAGAUGAUCGCUGCCCGACCGCACCGUCGGGUACAGAACCCGGCUUACAAGCCCGAUC